rnacentral:rRNA from 1 species
UACGUAGGGUGCGAGCGUUGUCCGGAAUUAUUGGGCGUAAAGAGCUCGUAGGCGGUUUGUCGCGUCUGCCGUGAAAGUCCGGGGCUCAACUCCGGAUCUGCGGUGGGUACGGGCAGACUAGAGUGAUGUAGGGGAGACUGGAAUUCCUGGGUGUAGCGGUGAAAUGCGCAGAUAUCAGGAAGAACACCCGUGGCUAAGGCGGGCUCCUCUGGGCCAUAACUGACGCUGAGAAGCGAAAGCAUGGGGAGCGAACAGG